AGUGAACGCUGGCGGUAGGCCUAACACAUGCAAGUCGAACGGCAGCACAGUAAGAGCUUGCUCUUACGGGUGGCGAGUGGCGGACGAGUGAGGAAUACAUCGGAAUCUACUUUUUCGUGGGGGAUAACGUAGGGAAACUUACGCUAAUACCGCAUACGACCUACGGGUGAAAGCAGGGGAUCUUCGGACCUUGCGCGAUUGAAUGAGCCGAUGUCGGAUUAGCUAGUUGGUGGGGUAAAGGCCCACCAAGGCGACGAUCCGUAGCUGGUCUGAGAGGAUGAUCAGCCACACUGGAACUGAGACACGGUCCAGACUCCUACGGGAGGCAGCAGUGGGGAAUAUUGGACAAUGGGCGCAAGCCUGAUCCAGCCAUACCGCGUGGGUGAAGAAGGCCUUCGGGUUGUAAAGCCCUUUUGUUGGGAAAGAAAAGCAGCAGGUUAAUACCCCGCUGUUCUGACGGUACCCAAAGAAUAAGCACCGGCUAACUUCGUG
rnacentral:rRNA from 1 species